CCUACGGGUGGCAGCAGUCGGGAAUAUUGCACAAUGGAGGAAACUCUGAUGCAGUGACGCCGCGUGCAGGAAGAAGGUUUUCGGAUUGUAACUUCUUUUGACAGGGGAGAAACAAGACAGGAACUGUAGAAUUAGCCCCGGCCAACUACGUGCCAGCAGCCGCGGUAAUACGUAGGGAGCCAGCGUUUACCUGAUUUAAUGGGUGUAAAGGGUGCGUAAACGGGUAUAUAAGUUAGUUGUGAAAUCCCUCGGCUCAACUGAGGAACUGCAAAUAAAACUGUAAAUCUUGAGUGCGGGAGAGGAAAGUGGAAUUCCUAGUGUAGCGGUGAAAUGCGUAGAUAUUAGGAGGAACACCAGUGGCGAAGGCGACUUUCUGGACCGUAACUGACGUUGAGGCACGAAAGUGUGGGGAGCAAACAGGAUUAGAUACCCUUGUAGUC
rnacentral:rRNA from 1 species